rnacentral:Y_RNA from 1 species
GGCUGGUCUGAUGGUAGUGGGUUAUUAAAACUUAUUAACACUAGUGUCACUGAAGUUGGCAUACAACCCCUCACUGCUAAAUUUGACAGGCUUAAA